rnacentral:rRNA from 1 species
GCCGGAGCUUCUUCUGCGGGUACCGUCAUUAUCUUCCCCGCUGAAAGGGGUUUACAACCCUAAGGCCUUCUUCACCCACGCGGCAUGGCUGGAUCAGGCUUUCGCCCAUUGUCCAAUAUUCCCC